rnacentral:rRNA from 1 species
GACGAACGCUGGCGGCGUGCCUAAUACAUGCAAGUCGAGCGAAUCAAUAGGAGCUUGCUCCUGUUGAUUAGCGGCGGACGGGUGAGUAACACGUGGGCAACCUGCCUGUAAGAUCGGGAUAACUUCGGGAAACCGGAGCUAAUACCGGAUAAUCCUUUUCCACAUAUGUGGGACAGCUGAAAGACGGUUUCGGGUGUCACUUACAGAUGGGCCCGCGGCGCAUUAGCUAGUUGGUGAGGUAACGGCUACCCAAGGCGACGAUGCGUAGCCGACCUGAGAGGGUGAUCGGCCACACUGGGACUGAGACACGGCCCAGACUCCUACGGGAGGCAGCAGUAGGGAAUCUUCCGCAAUGGACGAAAGUCUGACGGAGCAACGCCGCGUGAGCGAUGAAGGCCUUCGGGUCGUAAAGCUCUGUUGUUAGGGAAGAACAAGUAUCGGAGUAACUGCCGGUACCUUGACGGUACCUAACCAGAAAGCCACGGCUAACUACGUGCCAGCCGCCGCAGUAA